rnacentral:lncRNA from 1 species
AAAAAAGUAACAUAGCAUGUCAUGGGGGAUCUGGGCUCUGCCAGCCCCUCUCUUCCAAGUUCAGUGCUCUCACCCCAAGCUUGGAGCACACACACACACACACACACACACACACACACACACACACACACGGUACUAUUUUUCACCCCUGCCUUUGUUCCUCUGCUGUUCUUGCUGAAGUGUCCAGCUCCGGCCACCUCACCUGGGAAGCUCCGCUGAGCCCUGCCCAGAUACACCUCCCCUCCCAGCCUUUCCCUCCCAGGGGAGCUGGUGCACACUCACUCACUGCGCUGAUCACACCACAUUUCAUGAUGCUUCCUUUCCCUCCCCUCUCCCCAGCAGGCAAGUUCUUAAAGGCAAGGGUGUGUCUUGUGUGUCUAUAUCAAUCGGAGGCCUCUCCCUUCCUUUCUUCCCUGACCCAGCAGCCUCACCAGAGCAUUCUGUCUGACUAUCUGAUGGAGACACCUUCUGAGCCGAAACAGUGUGGCCAUAGUGGCUGUGUCCUCAGAGAUGAGGAGCCCCUCCUUCCCUUUCACAUUGCUCUCUGGCCUUCCCGGACCUGGCUUCUCGCAGCUUUGUGUGCGUGUUUCUCAGGUGUCCAGGAAUCCCAUGCGAAGUGAAGGCUGCUUUGGUCUCCUCAAGUCUGUCCAGGACAAUCCAGCCUCUGCCCUGGAACUGCUGGAUUUCUCAGAUAUCCAGGUGAACGCAGAGUUUGAUGGCCUUGCUAGCUCAGUGAGGGGAAUUCUUCCAGAACUCUGCAUAAAGACUGGCGCUUGCAGAGUGGAGUAUAAAAAGGAGUUGCUGCCAGUCUUCAGAUCAGCCCUGCCAGCGUCUGUCCCUAAGUGACCUUGGAGUGUGGCUUCCUCAUCUCCAAUCAGCUGCUUUGACCUCCAGGGUAUAUACUUGAAAGAAAUGAAGACAUAUGUCCCCACAAGAACUCGUGCAUGAAUAUCCAUAGCAACAUUAUUUAUAAUAUUCUAAGAGUGAAAAUGCCCACCAGUGGAUAAAUGCAAUGUGGUAUAUCCAUACAGUGGAAUAUUAUUUGGCAAUAAAAAGGAAUUUGAGGUGAUACCAAUGUUCUAAAAUGUAUUGUGGUGAUGGCUACGUAACUGUGCAUAUUCUAAAGGCAAUUGAAUUACAGAUGCUUUACAUGAAUGAACCGUAUGGUAUGUGAACGGCAUCUCAAUAAAACUGUUUCGAAAAGAAGGAAAAGGACGGACACAUGCUGAAAACGGGUGAAACUAGAAAACAUGGCGCUAAGUGAAAGAAGCCAGCCACAAGAUCACGUGUCGCAUGACCGCAUUUAUGUGAAACAUCCGGAGUAUGCAAAUCUAUACAGACAGAAAGUAGAUUAUACAUUGCCUAGGUGCAGAGAAAUGGAAGUAUUGGAGGUUGACGGCUAAAGGAUGUGGAUUUCUUUGGGGGGUGAUAAAAGU